GAGGAUACAGCAAGUGGUAGAGCACAUGCUUAGCAUGCAUGAGGUUCUGGGUUCAAUCCCCAGUACCUCCC
rnacentral:tRNA from 1 species